CCUACGGGUGGCAGCAGUGAGGAAUAUUGGUCAAUGGACGCAAGUCUGAACCAGCCAAGUCGCGUGCGGGAAGACGGCCCUACGGGUUGUAAACCUCUUUUGUCGGAGGGCAAAGGGAGUCACGUGUGACUCCUUGAGCGUACCCUACUAAAAAGCAUAGGCUAACUCCGUGCCAGCAGCCGCGGUAAUAUGGAGGAUGCGAGCGUUAUCCGGAUUUAUUGGGUUUAAAGGGUGCGCAGGCGGUGGUGUAAGUCUGGAGUGAAAUCCCGGGGCUUAACCUCGGAACUGCAUGUGAUACUGCGUGGCUGGAGUGCAGGAGCGGUAAGCGGAAUUCCUAGUGUAGCGGUGAAAUGCGUAGAUAUGAGGAGGAACACCGGUGGCGAAGGCGGCUUACUGGACUGCAACUGACGUUGAGGCUCGAAAGCGUGGGGAGCAAACAGGAUUAGAUACCCGAGUAGUC
rnacentral:rRNA from 1 species